rnacentral:rRNA from 1 species
CACGUAGGCGGAUAUUUAAGUCAGGGGUGAAAUCCCAGAGCUCAACUCUGGAACUGCCUUUGAUACUGGGUAUCUUGAGUAUGGAAGAGGUAGGUGGAAUUCCGAGUGUAGAGGUGAAAUUCGUAGAUAUUCGGAGGAACGCCAGUGGCGAAGGCGGCUUACUGGUCCAUUACUGACGCUGAGGUGCGAAAGCGUGGGGAGCAAACA